rnacentral:rRNA from 1 species
GGAUAACCUACCCUUAGGACCGGGAUAACCCUGGGAAACUGGGGAUAAUACUGGAUAGGCAAUUUUUCCUGUAAUGGUUUUUUGUUUAAAUGUUUUUUCGCCUAAGGAUGGGUCUGCGGCCGAUUAGGUAGUUGGUUAGGUAAUGGCUUACCAAGCCGUUGAUCGGUACGGGUUGUGAGAGCAAGAGCCCGGAGAUGGAACCUGAGACAAGGUUCCAGGCCCUACGGGGUGCAGCAGGCGCGAAACCUCCGCAAUGUGAGAAAUCGCGACGGGGGGAUCCCAAGUGCCAUUCUUAACGGGAUGGCUUUUCUUAAGUGUAAAGAGCUUUUGGAAUAAGGGCUGGGCAAGACCGGUGCCAGCCGCCGCGGUAACACCGGCAGCUCUAGUGGUAGCAGUUUUUAUUGGGCCUAAAGCGUCCGUAGCCGGUUUAAUAAGUCUCUGGUGAAAUCCUGUAGCUUAACUGUGGGAAUUGCUGGAGAUACUAUUAGACUUGAGACCGGGAGAGGUUGGAGGUACUCCCAGGGUAGAGGUGAAAUUCUGUAAUCCUGGGAGGACCGCCUGUUGCGAAGGCGUCUAACUGGA